rnacentral:rRNA from 1 species
GAUGAACGCUGGCGGCGUGCUUAACACAUGCAAGUCGAACGGUGAACACGGAGCUUGCUCUGUGGGAUCAGUGGCGAACGGGUGAGUAACACGUGAGCAACCUGCCCCUGACUCUGGGAUAAGCGCUGGAAACGGCGUCUAAUACUGGAUACGAGUAGCGGCCGCAUGGUCAGUUACUGGAAAGAUUUUUUGGUUGGGGAUGGGCUCGCGGCCUAUCAGCUUGUUGGUGGGGUAAUGGCUCACCAAGGCGUCGACGGGUAGCCGGCCUGAGAGGGUGACCGGCCACACGGGGACUGAGACACGGCCCAGACUCCUCCGGGGGGCAGCAGUGGGGAAUAUUGCACAAUGGGCGAAAGCCUGAUGCAGCAACGCCGCGUGAGGGAUGACGGCCUUCGGGUUGUAAACCUCUUUUAGCAGGGAAGAAGCGAAAGUGACGGUACCUGCAGAAAAAGCGCCGGCUAACUACGUGCCAGCCGCCGCCGUAA